ensembl:lncRNA
CAACUUCCUGUCAGCCUGCAACUCAGUCUUUCUGAAAGAGACACUGUUUAACCCCUGAAUGCAAUAUAAACUCCAGAUUAUAUUAUUAAUGCAAUGGUAAUGAUGACAAUUAUUUAACAAUAGCAGUAAAAUAAUUUCCCUGCUCCACAACAGUAACGCAUGAAAGGCAGUUCUAUUUGUGUAUUAAUCACCAUGAUGUGGCAUGAAAAUAGAAGAAAGGCGCAAAACGUGUACCAUACUCAGGGUUUAAAAUGGGUUGGUGUUUUUUUUCUUUUGUGUUUUUUUAGAUGUCCAUACGCUGCGGUUGUGCCGGUGUCAUGCCAAGGAGCGAGUAAAGAAGGAAAACAAGAAUGGAUCAAAAGAGUGAAAAGAGAAUUUCAAAAUGGCCCACUUGCAUCAAAUGUUGUGUUUGGCUUUAUUUUGACGGUCCUGGAAAGGUUGGUGGAGACAGAGUUUGAGUGUCCCUGUAAAGGGAAAUGCUGGAAUGGUUGGUUUGUGGCUACAUUCUUCAUCUUACCAGGGAUUUUGGCCUUUGUGCUGAUGGCUUCAGUUCAAGGACUGAAGUGCUCAUGUGACAAAGACAAUGCAAAGAGAAUCUUUCACUGCUGCAUCCCUACAUUUGUCUGGAUGAUCCUGUUGGUCUUUGAUGGCCGCUACAUUGCUUGUGCAAUGACUGGUUGGUUAGGCAGGUAUGUAACUGCUGACAAAGCUGCCCCACUGAAAUGGUGUGAACCAGAAAAUGGUACCUCAUAUCAGGAAAAUCUUAAGAAUUCUCAGGACUGGUACGUUCACUCUCAGUUGGCUGGACUUUGCUUGGUCUUGGUCUUGGCCUCAGUCCUGAUCAUAAAAUGGAUCAUGGAUCAACAAAGUCCUUCUACAGAGCAAAGAUCUUCCAAAAGUCUUCGCCUCACUGUGCGUGCAGAUAGACUCACACCUGCCUGCUGCCAUUCCUGAGCAAGCUCUGCACUGAUGGCACUUUGAUACCGCAGCUGAGUCAUCUUUAGGAGACCAUCCUGGCGCUUGCUGGACUUUCUUGGACGCCCUGAAGCCUUCUUAACAAUAAUUGAACCUCUUUCCUUGAAGUUCUUGAUGAUCUGAUAUAUGGUUGAUUUAGGUGCAGUCUUAGUAGCAAUAGCAUCCUUGCCUGUGAAGCCCUUUUUAUGCAACACAAUGAAGGCUACAUGUGUUUCCUUGUAGGUAAUCAUGUUUAAUAGGAAGAAUAACGACUUCAAGCAUCACCCUCCUUUUAAUGCAUCCAGUCUGCUAUUCUAACUCAGUCAGCAUAACAUAAUGAUCUCCAGCCUUGUGCUUGUCAACAUUCUCACCUGAGUUGAUGAGAACAUUAUUGAAAUGAUCUCAGCAGGUCCUUUUAUGGCAUGAAAUGCUGAAUGCUGAAAUGCAGUGGAAAUUGAAUUUUGAGAUUAAGUUCAUUUUCAUGGCAAAGAAGGAUUUUGCAAUUCAUCUGAUCACUCUUCAUAACAUUCUAGAGUAUAUGGAAAUUGCUAUUAUAAAAACUGAAGCAGCAAACUUUGUGAAAACCAGUAUUUGUGUCAUUCUCAAAACUUUUGGCCACGACUGUAUUGUUCUGCAUAUAUUUAGCACAAUUCAGUAAGAUAAAUCAUAUUAAAACCUGAGUUUCACUAAGUCUUUUUACAGUGGUAUAUUUCAGUUGGCUAUACCUCAUUUAAAACUGAUAUUCAAAGAAGUUAUAUUUGCCAUUACUUUAUUAUUAUAAGUAAGUGCUUAAAUUGGUGUUUUACGCCAUUUAAAAGUUAAAAAUAUUUGUAGUUGGUGUAUAGUACUAAUCAAUGUUCAAAAAAGAUAUGUAACAAAUGGCUUGCAAAGCUCAAGCUUGCAAAAAUAAACAUAAAUCUAUUUAUCAAAGCAAAAUAUUGAUUUUGCAAUAUUAAAGUGGUGGGCCCAAAGUGAUAUAUUUUUGUUUCCACAGGGCCCCAGUUUCCAUGUGUAUCAUCCUUCAUUCAGUGGCCAAGAGAAUAUUGCAGGCCGAGAGAUAAAAGUCCACGUUUUGAGAUGUGGAGGUGGAAAUGGUCAGACAUAUAUCAGCUAGGAAAUUAUAAUUUUCAUCUGCUAGGAGGGUUGUGUUUGGGACUCUGAUGAACUUUUACUUACUUUUUCUGCAGGAUUUUGCAUUGGCACCGCCUUGCUUCUCUCUUUUCUCAUUUUUUCCAGUUUGAUUAAAAACAUGCA